UACAGGGGGUGCAAACGUUGCUCGGAAUCAUUGGGCGUAAAGCGCACGUAGGCGGUUCGUUAUGUCGGAUGUGAAAGCCCUUGGCUUAACCGAGGAAGUGCAUCCGAAACUGGCGAGCUAGAGUACGAAAGAGGAUCGCGGAAUUCCCGGUGUAGAGGUGAAAUGCGCAGAUAUCGGGAAGAACACCCGUGGCGAAGGCGGCACUCUGGGACGGUACUGACGCUGAGACGCGAAAGCGUGGGGAGCGAACAGG
rnacentral:rRNA from 1 species